GGGUGAGUAAAGUGGCGAACGGGUGAGUAACACGUGGAUAAUCUGCCCCUGAAUCUGGGAUAAUCCCCCGAAAGGAGGUCUAAUACCGGAUAACACCUCUGGGUGACAUCAUCUGGCGGUCAAAGGCGGGGCAACCUGCCGUUUGGGGAUGAGUCCGCGCUCCAUUAGCUUGUUGGUGAGGUAACGGCCCACCAAGGCUUCGAUGGAUAGCCGACCUGAGAGGGUGACCGGCCACACUGGGACUGAGAUACGGCCCAGACUCCUACGGGAGGCAGCAGUCGGGAAUAUUGCGCAAUGGACGAAAGUCUGACGCAGCAACGCCGCGUGGGUGAUGAAGCUCCUUGGAGUGUAAAACCCUGUCAGUGGGGAAGAACCGUACGGGGAGUAACUGCCCUGUACCUGACGGUACCCACAGAGGAAGUCCCGGCUAACUCCGUGCCAGCAGCCGCGGUAAUACGGGGGGGACAAGCGUUGUUCGGAUUUACUGGGCGUAAAGGGCGCGUAGGCGGGCCAUCAAGUCGGAUGUGAAAACCAGCAGCUCAACUGCUGGCCUGCAUUCGAUACUGUUGGUCUUGAGUACAGGAGAGGAGAGCGGAAUUCCAGGUGUAGCGGUGAAAUGCGUAGAUAUCUGGAGGAACACCGGUAGCGAAGGCGGCUCUCUGGCCUGAUACUGACGCUCAAGCGCGAAGGCUUGGGGAGCAAACAGGAUUAGAUACCCUGGUAGUCCAAGCGGUAAACGAUGGGUACUA
rnacentral:rRNA from 1 species